rnacentral:rRNA from 1 species
CNCCCCUGGAUGNUCUUGNCUNNGUGGAAAGGGGGGAGAANCGGAUUAAUACCCUGUAUCCCCCNCNUAANGAAUGUCGAUAGNCGUGGGNUCCUGAGAGUUAGUGGCGCAGUAACCGCAUUAAUCGGCCCGCNUGGGAGUACGGCCGCAANUAAAACUCAAAGAAUUGACGGGGGGCCCGCACAAGCGGUGGAGCAUGUGGUUUAAUUCGAAGCAACGCGAAGACCUUACCUGGCCUUGACAUCCUGCGACUGGGUAGAGAUACCUGGGUGCUUCGGGAGCGCAGAGACAGGUGCUGCAUGGCNGUCGUCAGCUCGUGUCGUGAGAUGUUGGGUUAAGUCCCCGUAACGAGCGCAACCCUUGUCCUUAGUUACCAGCACGUCAUGGUGGGCACUCUAAGGAGACUGCCGGUGACAAACCGGAGGAAGGUGGGGAUGCGUCAAGUCAUCAUGGCCCUUACGGCCAGGGCUACACACGUGCUACAAUGGUCGGUACAGAGGGUUGCCAAGUCGCGAGGCGGAGCUAAUCCCAGAAAACCGAUCGUAGUCCGGAUCGCAGUCUGCAACUCGACUGCGUGAAGUCGGAAUCGCUAUAAUCGCGAAUCAGAAUGUCGCGGUGAAUACGUUCCCGGGCCUUGUACACACCGCCCGUCACACCAUGGGAGUGGGUUGCUCCAGAAGUAGCUAGUCUAACCUUCGGGGGGACGGUUACCACGGAG